UACGUAGGGUGCGAGCGUUGUCCGGAAUUAUUGGGCGUAAAGAGCUUGUAGGCGGUUUGUCGCGUCUGCUGUGAAAAUCCGGGGCUCAACCCCGGACUUGCAGUGGGUACGGGCAGACUAGAGUGUGGUAGGGGAGACUGGAAUUCCUGGUGUAGCGGUGAAAUGCGCAGAUAUCAGGAAGAACACCGGUGGCGAAGGCGGGUCUCUGGGCCGAUACUGACGUGAGGAGCGAAAGCGUGGGGAGCGAACAGG
rnacentral:rRNA from 1 species